UGUUGCUGUUUCUUUCUUUGUUCCUUUUUUUUUUUUUUUUGAAAAAUAACGACGUCUCUGAGGCGCGAAUUCCGACAGUGAGAGGAACGGCCGGAUACAGGAGACGGGAAGAAACAAGCCGAUUAUGUUCGCGUUAAUUAGGUAGUUGGAAGAUGUAAAAUUCUCAAUUCUGCCAACUGAACAUAUACGAGAUUUUAAUGAGGAUGAAUAAUUAGCCGGCAUGGAGGAAACGGACCUUUAUUUGGUGGAGUGUCGACAAGAAGCCAAAAGACGGGUGGCCGGUCUAUGAAGCCUCCAUCAUCAAGCUAGCAGCCCAUGAAAUCGAAUGCAGAUCUUCCUGAUGUGAGAUUUACAUAAAUAUGUCAAAGUCUCAACCUCAUGCUGCCCUCCCCCAUCCUCCUAAACCUGUGGAUACAAAUGCAGAUUUCCUUAAUGUUCAAUGGUGCGUGUUCUUCUAAUGGCCGCCUUCCCACUGGAAGUUUUGAUCCACAGCAAUUUAAAAGGAGGACAGAGCAAAACGGACAUCGGCAAGAGAGUGAAGAACUGCCCUUCAUAAGGACACUAUGACAGCCAUAUAUA
ensembl:lncRNA